UUCCUGAUGGGAAACUGACUUCCUGAUGGGAAACUGACUGACUUCCUGAUGGGAGACUGACUUCCUGAUGGGAAACUGACUGACUUCCUGACGGGAAACUGACUGACUUCCUGACGGGAAACUGACUUCCUGAUGGGAAACUGACUGACUUCCUGACGGGAAACUGACUGACUUCCUGAUGGGAAACUGACUUGCCCACGGGUGAUUUCUAGGCCUGCACACGGUGGAACGGGGCAGAGGCACACAAUAUGAGGGGUAUCGUGACAAUUUUCAUAAUUUCAGGAUGGCUGCACAGUUUUCACACUGCUCCUCCGCACGCUGCUGCUUGCACCCUGUACUGUCUGUGCUCUGCAGACUUCUUUCCCAUUUGAACAUGAAUGCUGAUUGUAGCUAUGCAGGUCUUCUGAUGGCUUAUUCUUGGGGACUAAGGGUACCACACAGAAAUAGGCUGCCAAACAUGCAGAUAGAAGCAAACCUUGCCAUUCCUUUCCUGGAAAAGAGACAAAAUGUUUAGUCAAUAAAAAAAGUCCAGGGUUGUUGCAAAAUUGUUUCUCAAUGGAAGUCAUUUUCUUACCUUUCCUCCAUGGUGAUGACAGAUAUGUAUUUGAUUUGAUUUGAGAAAAAGUUCUCAAAAUGAGAGGAAAACUUCAUAUUUUUUAGAAAAAAAUAGAAGAAGAAUACAAGUGGUAUAGAUUAAAUUCAUAUUCCUCUAGUUGACCUCUGAAAAUGACGAAAUAACAACUUUUUUAAAUUGCUGAUUAGAUAAGCCACCUAGGACCUACACCUAAUCCUCACUGGCAUAGCCAGUGUUGGGCAUAUGAAUGCCAAACAGCACACCAAAAGAUGCUCACAUUAGUCCUGCCCUCCUUCACCCACGGCCCCCUCCCCAACCCUCAGUGCCAGAAGCACACCACCUCCGCGCCUCCCUCCCUUGGACCCCUGCUUCUGUUGUCAAUGCCUUCAUACAAGAGGCCCCCAGGCCAGGUGCUGUGUAAUCCCAGCACUUUGAGAGGCUGAGAUGGACAAUUGCUUGAGCCCAGGAGUUUGAGACCAGCCUUGGCAACAUGACAAAAGCCCAUCUCUACAAAAAAUACAAAAAAAAUUUGGCAGAUGUGAUAGUGUAUGCCUGUACUCCCAACUACUCAGGAGCCUGAGGCAAGAAGAGCGCUUGAGUCUAGGAGGUUGAGGCUACAGGGAGCCAUGGCCAUACCACUGCACUCCAGCAUGGAUGACAGAGUAAGACCCUGUCUCAAAACAAACACACAAAAGAGGCCCCCAGAGAGCCCUCUAAGCCUCCUUCAGCCAUGUGAGGAUGUGGCUGGAAGGCAGCAGUCUGUACUCUGGAGAAGCAUCCUCCCUAGAGCCCGGCCAUGUGGGCACCCCGAUCUCAGACCUCCAGCCUCUGGACUGUGAGGAAUAAAUGCUUGUUGUCUAAGCCCCCCAGUCUAUGGUUUGUUUUUGUUUUUUUUUUAAUAGACAAAUUCUUCCUCUGUCACCAAACCUGGAGUGCAGUGGCGCGAUCUCGGCUCACUGCAUCCUCCGCCUCCAGGUUCAAGCGAUUCUCCUGCCUCAGGCUCCUGAGUAGCUGGGAUUAUAGGCAUCUGCACCAC
rnacentral:lncRNA from 1 species